rnacentral:lncRNA from 1 species
AAAGGCAUAGAAUUCUAGUAAGUGAGAUUGUAAGUCUCCCCUCUUUCAUGAUAUUGUGUGGAAACUUGGCCUUUUUUCCUUUCUUUGGAAGAUGUCUUGGUUCAAGAAUUCAUGCUUGUGAAUAGUGGGUUGAGUAUUCUCCAAAGAAUGACUUAAACAAAACAAAAGCAAAAGCAAUACUAACUUAUAAUCAAUUAACAACUAACAUUUAAAUUCAAGCCAUUUACUUUUAUG